rnacentral:rRNA from 1 species
UACAGAGGUCUCAAGCGUUGUUCGGAAUCACUGGGCGUAAAGGGUGCGUAGGUGGCGUGGUAAGUCGGGUGUGAAAUCCCUGGGCUCAACCCAGGAAGUGCAUUCGAAACUGGCAGGCUUGAAUAUGGAAGAGGGUCGCGGAAUUCCCGGUGUAGAGGUGAAAUUCGUAGAUAUCGGGAGGAACACCAGUGGCGAAGGCGGCGACCUGGGCCAAUAUUGACGCUGAGGUGCGAAAGCGUGGGGAGCAAACAGG